rnacentral:misc_RNA from 1 species
AACUGAUACUACCUGCGGGAACCUGCGGAAGGAUCAUUACCGAGUUUACAACUCCCAAACCCCAUGUGAACAUACCUGUUUCGUUCCCUCGGCGGUGUCCGGCAACGGCCCGCCAGAGGACCCAACAAACUCUUUUGAAUUUUUCAGUAUCUUCUGAGUGAAAAAAACAAUAAAUCAAAACUUUUAACAAUGGAUCUCU